GACGGAGGAUGCAAGCGUUAUCCGGAAUGAUUGGGCGUAAAGCGUCCGCAGGUGGCAGUUCAAGUCUGCUGUCAAAGACCGGGGCUUAACUUCGGAAAGGCAGUGGAAACUGAACAGCUAGAGUAUGGUAGGGGCAGAGGGAAUUCCUGGUGUAGCGGUGAAAUGCGUAGAUAUCAGGAGGAAUACCGAUGGCGAAGGCAGGUCUCUGGGCUGAUACUGACGCUCAUGCACGAAAGCGUGGGGAGCAAACAGG
rnacentral:rRNA from 1 species